UAUUGAAUAGGCGAUGGAGUUCGCCAUUAACCGCGAAAGCUAAUGACUCCUACUCUUUA
rfam:Turicibacter sp. H121, complete genome.